rnacentral:rRNA from 1 species
GACGAGUCUCACGAACGUUAUUCGGAAUUACUGGGCUUAAAGGGUGCGUAGGCGGUGAAGUAAGUCGGGUGUGAAAUACCAUAGCUUAACUAUGGAACUGCACUCGAUACUACUUUGCUAGAGUAAGACAGAGGUGAGUGGAACUGAGGGUGGAGCGGUGAAAUGCGUAGAUAUCGGAAGGAACAUCAGUGGCGAAAGCGACUUCCUGGACCAGUACCGACGUUCAGGCACGAAAGCGUGGGGAGCAAACAGG